rnacentral:rRNA from 1 species
UUAAUGGAGAGUUUGAUCCUGGCUCAGGACGAACGCUGGCGGCGUGCCUAAUACAUGCAAGUCGAGCGGGGUUAGUUAGAAGCUUGCUUCUAACUAACCUAGCGGCGGACGGGUGAGUAACACGUAGGCAACCUGCCCACAAGACAGGGAUAACUACCGGAAACGGUAGCUA